rnacentral:tRNA from 1 species
GACAAAAUAGUUUAAUAGGUAAAACAAAGGUCUCCAAAAUCUUCGAUAUAAGUUCAAGUCUUAUUUUUGUCA